rnacentral:rRNA from 1 species
AGAAUCAACGCUGGCGGCGUGCCUAACACAUGCAAGUCGAACGAGAAAGUGGAGCAAUCCAUGAGUAAAGUGGCGACCGGGUGAGUAACACGUGACUAACCUACCUUUGAGUGGGGGAUAACAUCGGGAAACCGAUGCUAAUACCGCAUAACAUCGCAAGAUCAAAGCAGCAAUGCGCUUAAAAGAGGGGGUCGCGGCUGAUUAGCUAGUUGGCGGGGUAACGCCACAAGGCGAAGAUCGGUA